GGGUUGUGAGGUUAAGCGACUAAGCGUACACGGUGGAUGCCCUGGCAGUCAGAGGCGAUGAAGGACGUGCUAAUCUGCGAUAAGCGUCGGUAAGGUGAUAUGAACCGUUAUAACCGGCGAUUUCCGAAUGGGGAAACCCAGUGUGUUUCGACACACUAUCAUUAACUGAAUCCAUAGGUUAAUGAGGCGAACCGGGGGAACUGAAACAUCUAAGUACCCCGAGGAAAAGAAAUCAACCGAGAUUCCCCCAGUAGCGGCGAGCGAACGGGGAGGAGCCCAGAGCCUGAAUCAGUGUGUGUGUUAGUGGAAGCGUCUGGAAAGGCGCGCGAUACAGGGUGACAGCCCCGUACACAAAAAUGCACAUGCUGUGAGCUCGAUGAGUAGGGCGGGACACGUGGUAUCCUGUCUGAAUAUGGGGGGACCAUCCUCCAAGGCUAAAUACUCCUGACUGACCGAUAGUGAACCAGUACCGUGAGGGAAAGGCGAAAAGAACCCCGGCGAGGGGAGUGAAAAAGAACCUGAAACCGUGUACGUACAAGCAGUGGGAGCACAGAGCAAUCUGUGUGACUGCGUACCUUUUGUAUAAUGGGUCAGCGACUUAUAUUCUGUAGCAAGGUUAACCGAAUAGGGGAGCCGAAGGGAAACCGAGUCUUAACUGGGCGUUAAGUUGCAGGGUAUAGACCCGAAACCCGGUGAUCUAGCCAUGGGCAGGUUGAAGGUUGGGUAACACUAACUGGAGGACCGAACCGACUAAUGUUGAAAAAUUAGCGGAUGACUUGUGGCUGGGGGUGAAAGGCCAAUCAAACCGGGAGAUAGCUGGUUCUCCCCGAAAGCUAUUUAGGUAGCGCCUCGUGAAUUCAUCUCCGGGGGUAGAGCACUGUUUCGGCAAGGGGGUCAUCCCGACUUACCAACCCGAUGCAAACUGCGAAUACCGGAGAAUGUUAUCACGGGAGACACACGGCGGGUGCUAACGUCCGUCGUGAAGAGGGAAACAACCCAGACCGCCAGCUAAGGUCCCAAAGUCAUGGUUAAGUGGGAAACGAUGUGGGAAGGCCCAGACAGCCAGGAUGUUGGCUUAGAAGCAGCCAUCAUUUAAAGAAAGCGUAAUAGCUCACUGGUCGAGUCGGCCUGCGCGGAAGAUGUAACGGGGCUAAACCAUGCACCGAAGCUGCGGCAGCGACGCUGAUGCGUUGUUGGGUAGGGGAGCGUUCUGUAAGCCUGUGAAGGUGUGCUGUGAGGCAUGCUGGAGGUAUCAGAAGUGCGAAUGCUGACAUAAGUAACGAUAAAGCGGGUGAAAAGCCCGCUCGCCGGAAGACCAAGGGUUCCUGUCCAACGUUAAUCGGGGCAGGGUGAGUCGACCCCUAAGGCGAGGCCGAAAGGCGUAGUCGAUGGGAAACAGGUUAAUAUUCCUGUACUUGGUGUUACUGCGAAGGGGGGACGGAGAAGGCUAUGUUGGCCGGGCGACGGUUGUCCCGGUUUAAGCGUGUAGGCUGGUUUUCCAGGCAAAUCCGGAAAACUAAGGCUGAGGCGUGAUGACGAGGCACUACGGUGCUGAAGCAACAAAUGCCCUGCUUCCAGGAAAAGCCUCUAAGCAUCAGGUAACAUCAAAUCGUACCCCAAACCGACACAGGUGGUCAGGUAGAGAAUACCAAGGCGCUUGAGAGAACUCGGGUGAAGGAACUAGGCAAAAUGGUGCCGUAACUUCGGGAGAAGGCACGCUGAUAUGUAGGUGAAGUCCCUCGCGGAUGGAGCUGAAAUCAGUCGAAGAUACCAGCUGGCUGCAACUGUUUAUUAAAAACACAGCACUGUGCAAACACGAAAGUGGACGUAUACGGUGUGACGCCUGCCCGGUGCCGGAAGGUUAAUUGAUGGGGUCAGCGCAAGCGAAGCUCUUGAUCGAAGCCCCGGUAAACGGCGGCCGUAACUAUAACGGUCCUAAGGUAGCGAAAUUCCUUGUCGGGUAAGUUCCGACCUGCACGAAUGGCGUAAUGAUGGCCAGGCUGUCUCCACCCGAGACUCAGUGAAAUUGAACUCGCUGUGAAGAUGCAGUGUACCCGCGGCAAGACGGAAAGACCCCGUGAACCUUUACUAUAGCUUGACACUGAACAUUGAGCCUUGAUGUGUAGGAUAGGUGGGAGGCUUUGAAGUGUGGACGCCAGUCUGCAUGGAGCCGACCUUGAAAUACCACCCUUUAAUGUUUGAUGUUCUAACGUUGACCCGUAAUCCGGGUUGCGGACAGUGUCUGGUGGGUAGUUUGACUGGGGCGGUCUCCUCCUAAAGAGUAACGGAGGAGCACGAAGGUUGGCUAAUCCUGGUCGGACAUCAGGAGGUUAGUGCAAUGGCAUAAGCCAGCUUGACUGCGAGCGUGACGGCGCGAGCAGGUGCGAAAGCAGGUCAUAGUGAUCCGGUGGUUCUGAAUGGAAGGGCCAUCGCUCAACGGAUAAAAGGUACUCCGGGGAUAACAGGCUGAUACCGCCCAAGAGUUCAUAUCGACGGCGGUGUUUGGCACCUCGAUGUCGGCUCAUCACAUCCUGGGGCUGAAGUAGGUCCCAAGGGUAUGGCUGUUCGCCAUUUAAAGUGGUACGCGAGCUGGGUUUAGAACGUCGUGAGACAGUUCGGUCCCUAUCUGCCGUGGGCGCUGGAGAACUGAGGGGGGCUGCUCCUAGUACGAGAGGACCGGAGUGGACGCAUCACUGGUGUUCGGGUUGUCAUGCCAAUGGCACUGCCCGGUAGCUAAAUGCGGAAGAGAUAAGUGCUGAAAGCAUCUAAGCACGAAACUUGCCCCGAGAUGAGUUCUCCCUGACUCCUUGAGAGUCCUGAAGGAACGUUGAAGACGACGACGUUGAUAGGCCGGAUGUGUAAGCGCAGCGAUGCGUUGAGCUAACCGGUACUAAUGAACCGUGAGGCUUAACCUUACAACGCCGAAGCUGUU
rnacentral:rRNA from 1 species